GACGAACGCUGGCGGCGUGCUUAACACAUGCCAGUCGAACGGAAAGGCCCUGCUUGCUGGGUACUCGAGUGGCGAACGGGGGAGUAACACGUUUGUGAUCUGCCCUGCACUUCGGGAUAAGCCUUGGAAACGGGUUCUAAUACCGGAUAGGAGCCAUUUUUAGUGUGAUUGUUGGAAAGUUUUUUCGGUGUCGUAUGAGCUCGCGGCCUAUCAGCUUGUUGGUGGGGUAAUGGUAUAACAAGGCGGCGACGGGUAGCCGGCCCGAGAGGGUGGACGGGCACAGUGGGACUGAGACACGGACCCGACCCAUACGGGAGGCAGAAGUAGGGAAUAUUGAUAAAUGGGAGCAAGCGAGAUGCUGCGACAGCGAGUCGGGGAUGAUGGUCUUGGGGUUGUAAUCGCAUUUCGCUAGGGACGAAGAUGUUUGUGACAGUACCUAGAUAAGAAGCACCGGCUAACUCCGUG
rnacentral:rRNA from 1 species